AAGCAUACAUGUACCAUUGCUAGAGAAAAAUGACACAUCACACAUAGGAGAACAAUUCAAAUGACUUCAGCUUCCUCAUGAGGAGAGAGGAAAUCUCAUCGUAGAGACCAGUAGGAAGUGGAAUCACAUCUUUAAAAUGAAGAAAAAGAACCAUCAACCCACCAUUCUCUUCACAAUUUCAAGAAUACUCAAUGAAAAUAUGCUUCAGGAGUGAGAGUGAAAUAAAGACGUUUUCAGAUGAAGGAAAACUAAGAGAGUUCUUUGACAACAGACCCGUCCUAAAAUAAUUGCUACAAGAAGUUUUUCAGACAGAUGAGAAAUGAUACCAGAAGUUAACUUGGAAUAUCAGGAAUGAAAAAAAGACCAACAGAAAUGGUAAAGAUCUGAGGUAAUGCAACAUUCUGUGCUGCUCUUGAGUUCUUUAAAAUACGUUUUAUGGUUAAAACAAAAAUUAUAACAUUUUUUGAUGGUGUUUUCAAUGUUAUAUGUAGAUAGCACAUAAGACAACUACAACAUAAAGAGGGUAGAAUAAAAGAAACUAAAGUUUUACAUUACACUUAAAAUGGUAAAAUAUUGAUUCUAAGUAGACCAUGAAAAGGUAAAGACGUAUAUUGUAAUCCCUGGAGCAACCACUAAAAACAAAAACAAAAACAAACAGAACUAUACAAGCAGAUAAAGUUAAAAACACAAUAAAUGUCCUUAAAAUGGUAGACACAAAUCCAACCAUAUCAGUAAUUCCAUUAAAUGUAAAUGAUCUAAGAAUGGUAUCAGCAAAAAUGGAAUAGAGAACUCCAAAACUCCUUUUUCCAUAAAAAACAGUGAAAAAAACUGGCAAAAUCAACUUUAUUAGAACUCUGGAGACUAAUAAAAAGUUUAAUAAAUAAAAUAAAUUCUUUUUUUUAAUAAAAUAAAUUCUUUUUUUUUUUUUUGAGGGAGAGUCUCAUUCUGUUGCUCCGGCUGGAGUGCAGUGGUGUGAUCUUGACUUCAAAUGAUCCACCCACCUCAGCCUCCCAAAGUGUUGGGUUUACAGGCAUGAGCCACAAUGCCCAGCCAAUAAAUUUUAAUCAAGAAGAAAAACGGCUAAAUCUCAGUGGGAAAACACUGUGGUGUUUUAACAUACCUGGGCUCCAUUCUCCUCUUUCCCAGCUUGGUGGCAGCCUUGAAGACAACAGCCUGCAUUCUUGAUAUAGGUUCUUAGUGUUCGAGGGAGCAGAAUGGAACUUACUCUCAAAGGAUUGUGGUUGCCUGUUUUGACCUGUCUGUUGGUUCCCUGAAGGAUGAGCACAAAAGAUUUACUUUAAUUUCACCUAACUUAGAACUCUCCCAGGGCUGAAGCAGCUACCUGGGGCAUUUGGAAAAACAAACAAACCACACACACAUGCACAGAGUUAAAAACAAAUGCAUUCACUAAUGGUAACAGUUAGGGAAAUAAUAGACAAACCAAAAGCUUAAGAAAAAAGGCUGGAGAAGGAAACACUUUAAGAAAUAAGGGCUUUAAAAAGCUUUCUGGAUAUCUAAGAAGGUCACACAUAUGCUCAGAAAAUAUCCUAGAAGACUCUACACUCUCACCUCUGACUGACCUCCAGACUCUGCAAGCAGAAAAGGAAGGUUAAGGCAGAGUUGUAAACAGCCUGGCUAAGUGUUAAAAGCCACACCUCAAAACACAUACAGAGCUCAUCUGAAGAUAUUGGGAAUUUUUUUUUUAUGUUGUUCUAGGUAUAAAGGAAAUUUCAGUCAUCACUAGCCAACCACUAGUGGAA
rnacentral:lncRNA from 1 species